GAUGAACGCUGGCGGCGUGCCUAAUACAUGCAAGUCGAGCGAACAGACGAGGAGCUUGCUCCUCUGACGUUAGCGGCGGACGGGUGAGUAACACGUGGAUAACCUACCUAUAAGACUGGGAUAACUUCGGGAAACCGGAGCUAAUACCGGAUAAUAUAUUGAACCGCAUGGUUCAAUAGUGAAAGACGGUUUUGCUGUCACUUUUAGAUGGAUCCGCGCCGCAUUGGCUAGUUGGUAAGGUAACGGCUUACCAAGGCAACGAUGCGUAGCCGACCUGAGAGGGUGAUCGGCCACACUGGAACUGAGACACGGUCCAGACUCCUACGGGAGGCAGCAGUAGGGAAUCUUCCGCAAUGGGCGAAAGCCUGACGGAGCAACGCCGCGUGAGUGAUGAAGGUCUUCGGAUCGUAAAACUCUGUUAUUAGGGAAGAACAAAUGUGUAAGUAACUAUGCACGUCUUGACGGUACCUAAUCAGAAAGCCACGGCUAACUACGUG
rnacentral:rRNA from 1 species